rnacentral:lncRNA from 1 species
CUUUCUGUGCCUUUGUAAAGCAUAAGAAUUUGUCCAUCCCCAUCCCUGACAAUGAUAGACAUUCUCUUUCUUUUACUAGUGAAAUCCAGCAGAUUGAGAAGUUUGAACUCCAUGAAAUUUUCCAGAAUAUACAUAAUAUGCAAAGACACCUAUAAUCCAAGGUGAAAUGAAAUCAAACUGAACAUGCCCUGACCUUUCAACAGAUAAUAAUAAGUGUUCCAUCCAUACCAGUUCUUGGAGGGCCCAGACUAGCUUUCCUAAAUACAAGUGUGCUUGAAGAUCUAGUAUUAUUUUGAACACUGAUAUCACAAAAAGCCAAUUUUUGUGAACUGGUGGGCUGGUCCCACUUACAUCUUGUCAAACUGCUGAAGACAUGAAACUGCUGAAGACAUGAAACAAAAUAGAACUUCAAAAUAUGUUUCAUGUAUCUGCAUUGAUGUGACUAACUCAGCAUUAGCAUAAGGCGCUGGAACCAUCUCACUCUGCAUAAGCAAAAGCAUAGAAAUAUAGUUGAUCAUUCUCACAUCAUAAGUAAAGCAGCACAUUUCUUACUUUCACUAUCUUAAUAUUUUUGUUUUCUUUCAAAAUUAACAGAAACAACAAUGCUCCAAAUGACAUACAAGAACCAAUAAGUAAACAAGUGAUGAGGAACAAAGAACAUCGAGGUAAAUGCAAUUUUGAGAAAGAGAGCCUGAACUUUUGUACAAGAAACUCGACGAAAUGAGAGAAUUUCGAACAAAUGUUUCACAAUGAAUAUAAGUAUUUUACCAAUGCCUUUCGCUUGGGAGAGACUCGACAACAUAUCACAGAUGCACAAUCAACUGCUAAAUUCAAGAACUGAUGCUUCAUAUCAUUCUCCAACGCAUAAGUUAGUGUUUUCCCAUCGAUUAUUAAGGCAAAUGCAGCAUGGGGGUCUUUUUCAAGCUUAACAAUUUGAGAGGCAUUGGUGAUUUGCAUCAAAAUGUUCUUCUUUACUGCCUGAUUAACAAUAACAAACAUAAAUUAGUCCUAACAUGAACUAUCUGCGUCUUUGCAAAGCAGAAGAAUUUGAUGCAUGAUUUCCUUGAAUGAAAAAUUAAAAGGGUUAAAAAUAAAAGGAAUCCUAGAGCCAAACCUGUCUGUGCCUUUGUAAAGCAGAAGAAUUUGUCCAUCCCCAUCCCUGACAAUGACAGACAUUCUCUUUCUUUUACUAGUGAAAUCCAGUAGAUUGAGAAGUUUGAACUCCCUGAAAUUUUCCAGAAUAUACAUAAUAUGCAAAGACACCUAUAAUCCAAGGUGAAAUGAAAUCAAACUGAACAUGCCCUGACCUUUCAACAGAUUCCUGAGCUGAAGGAUGCCUUUUACGAACAAAUAUGCUUGUUUGACUUCUUAAAAACGCCAGAAGCAAAAGAAUAAUCAGUCAAAUAGAUAAGAAAAGGUAAAAAAUUUAUAAUUCUUCAUACAGUUCAUUGUUAGUGCGUUGGUGUACUUUGUAAGCCUGUAUAACUCGGAUUUUAUUUUUAGUAACAAAGAAAAUGCACAAAAACCAAC